rnacentral:rRNA from 1 species
GACGAACGCUUGCGGCGUGCCUAAGAAAUGCAAGUCGAGCGGGGAGUUAGAUUUCGGUUUAGCUUCUAGCGGCGAACGGUCGCGUAACACGUAAGCAACCUGCCCCGAAGACCGGGACAACAUCUCGAAAGGGGUGGCUAAUACCGGAUGUGGCCAUCUGGGGACGAUCCCCGGGUCGGAUUAAAUCGAGCAAUCGGCUUCGGGAGGGGCUUGCGGCCUAUCAGCUAGUUGGUGGGGUAACGGCCUACCAAGGCGACGACGGGUAGCUGGUCUGAGAGGACGGCCAGCCGGACUGGGGACUGGAGAUACGGCCCAGGACUCCUACGGGGGGCAGCAAUUAGGAAUCUUGCGCAAUAGGGCGGAAAGCCUGACGCAGCGACGCCGCGUGGGAGGAGGAAGUCCUC